rnacentral:rRNA from 1 species
GACGAACGCUGGCGGCGUGCUUAACACAUGCAAGUCGAACGGAAAGGCCCUGCUCUUGCUGUGUGCUCGAGUGGCGAACGGGUGAGUAACACGCGUGUAACCUGUCCCUUACUUUGGGAUAACUCCAGGAAACUCGGGCUAAUAUCGGAUAUGAGCUCCUGCUGCACGGUGGGGGUUGGAAAGUUUCGGCGGUUGGGGAUGGACUUGAGGCUUUUCAGCUUGUUGGUGGGGUAGUGGCUUACUAAGGCUUCGACGGGUAGCCGGCCUGAGAGGGUGACCGGCCACAUUGGGACUCAGGAAGCACCAAGACUCAUACGGGGGGCAUGGGUGGAGAAUAUUGCGAGCUGGGCGGAGGCAUGAUGGAACGACGUCGGGUGCGAGAUGACGGCCUUCGGGUUAUAACCCGUUUUCGCCUGUAACGAUGCGUGUGUGACGGUAAUGGAUAAGAAAGCAACGGCUAACUACGUG